GUCUACGGCCACACCACCCUGGACAUGCCCCAUCUCAUCUGAUCUCGGAAGCUAAGCAGGAUCAGUCCUGGUUAGAACCUGGAUGGGAGACA
rnacentral:rRNA from 1 species